UACGGGGGGAGCAAGCGUUGUUCGGAUUUACUGGGCGUAAAGGGCGCGUAGGCGGCCUUCUAAGUCGAACGUGAAAUCCCUGGGCUUAACCCAGGAACUGCGUCCGAUACUGGAAGGCUUGAAUCCGGGAGAGGGAUGCGGAAUUCCAGGUGUAGCGGUGAAAUGCGUAGAUAUCGUGAGGAAGACCAGUGGCGAAGGCGGGUCUCUGGACAGUUCCUGACACUGAGGCACGAAGGCCAGGGGAGCAAACGGG
rnacentral:rRNA from 1 species